rnacentral:rRNA from 1 species
CCUACGGGAGGCAGCAGUGGGGAAUCUUGGACAAUGGGCGCAAGCCUGAUCCAGCCAUGCCGCGUGAGUGAUGAAGGCCUUAGGGUCGUAAAGCUCUUUCGCCAGAGAUGAUAAUGACAGUAUCUGGUAAAGAAACCCCGGCUAACUCCGUGCCAGCAGCCGCGGUAAUACGGAGGGUGCAAGCGUUAAUCGGAAUUACUGGGCGUAAAGCGCGCGUAGGCGGCUUGUUAAGUCAGAUGUGAAAGCCCCGGGCUCAACCUGGGAACUGCAUCUGAUACUGGCAGGCUAGAGUUUGUGAGAGGGAAGUGGAAUUUCCGGUGUAGCGGUGAAAUGCAUAGAGAUCGGAAGGAACAUCAGUGGCGAAGGCGACUUCCUGGCACAAAACUGACGCUGAGGUGCGAAAGUGUGGGGAGCAAACAGGAUUAGAUACCCUGGUAGUCCACACCGUAAACGAUGAAUGCCAGUCGUCGGGUAGCAUGCUAUUCGGUGACACACCUAACGGAUUAAGCAUUCCGCCUGGGGAGUACGGUCGCAAGAUUAAAACUCAAAGGAAUUGACGGGG